UCGGGAAUAUUGGGCAAUGGAGGGAACUCUGACCCAGCCAUGCCGCGUGCAGGAUGAAGGCGUUAUGCGUUGUAAACUGCUUUUAUAUAGGAAGAAAUAGUCCUUGCGAGGAAAGUUGACGGUACUAUAUGAAUAAGCACCGGCUAACUCCGUGCCAGCAGCCGCGGUAAUACGGAGGGUGCAAGCGUUGUCCGGAUUUAUUGGGUUUAAAGGGUGCGUAGGCGGUUUAUUAAGUCAGUGGUGAAAGACGGUCGCUCAACGAUUGCAGUGCCAUUGAUACUGGUAGACUUGAGUAUGAUUGAGGUAGCUGGAAUGGAUAGUGUAGCGGUGAAAUGCAUAGAUAUUAUCCAGAACACCAAUUGCGUAGGCAAGUUACUAAGUCAUAACUGACGCUGAGGCACGAAAGUGUGGGUAUCAAACAGGAUUAGAUACCCGAGUAGUCCCUG
rnacentral:rRNA from 1 species